UCGCCAAGCGGUAAGGCACCGGAUUCUGAUUCCGGCAUUCCGAGGUUCGAAUCCUCCGUACCCCA
rnacentral:tRNA from 1 species